UACGUAGGGGGGCAAGCGUUGUCCGGAUUUAUUGGGCGUAAAGAGCUCGUAGGCGGCUCGGUAAGUCGGAUGUGAAACCUCCAGGCUCAACCUGGAGACGCCAUCUGAUACUGCCGUGGCUUGAGUCCGGUAGAGGAGCAGGGAAUUCCUGGUGUAGCGGUGAAAUGCGCAGAUAUCAGGAGGAACACCAGCGGCGAAGGCGCUGCUCUGGGCCGGUACUGACGCUGAGGAGCGAAAGCGUGGGGAGCGAACAGG
rnacentral:rRNA from 1 species